rnacentral:rRNA from 1 species
ACGUAGGGUGCGAGCGUUAAUCGGAAUUACUGGGCGUAAAGCGUGCGCAGGCGGUUUUGUAAGACAGAGGUGAAAUCCCCGGGCUCAACCUGGGAACUGCCUUUGUGACUGCAUGGCUGGAGUGCGGCAGAGGGGGAUGGAAUUCCGCGUGUAGCAGUGAAAUGCGUAGAUAUGCGGAGGAACACCGAUGGCGAAGGCAGCCCCCCGGGCCGAUACUGACGCUCAUGCACGAAAGCGUGGGGAGCAAACAG